GUCGACGUAGCUCAAUUGGUAGAGCAGCGGUCUCCAAAACCGCAAGAUGCAGGUUCGACUCCUGUCGUCUUCGC
rnacentral:tRNA from 1 species